UGGGGGAUAUUGCACAAUGGGCGAAAGCCUGAUGCAGCGACGCCGCGUGGGGGAUGAAGGCUUUCGGGUUGUAAACCUCUUUCGCUAUCGAACAAGGCCCGCUUAGGGUGGGUUGAGGGUAGGUGGAGAAGAAGCGCCGGCUAACUACGUGCCAGCAGCCGCGGUAAUACGUAGGGCGCGAGCGUUUUCCGGAAUUAUUGGGCGUAAAGGGCUUGUAGGCGGCUUGUUGCGCCUGCUGUGAAAACGCGGGGCUUCACUUCGCGCGUGAAGUGGGGACGUGCAGGCUUGAGUGUGGUAGGGGUGACUGGAAUUCCCGGUGUAGCGGUGGAAUGCGCAGAUAUCUGGAGGAACACCGAUGGCGAAGGCAGGUCACUGGGCCAUUACUGACGCUGAGGAGCGAAAGCAUGGGUAGCGAACAGG
rnacentral:rRNA from 1 species